CCUACAGGCGGCAGCAGUGGGGAAUAUUGGGCAAUGGAGGAAACUCUGACCCAGCAACGCCGCGUGAAUGAUGAAGGUCUUCGGAGUGUAAAGCUCUUUUCUUAAAGGAGUAGAAAGUGACGGUACCUUAGGAAUAAGCCUCGGCUAACUACGUGCCAGCAGCCGCGGUAAUACGUAGGAGGCGAGCGUUAUCCGGAAUGACUGGGCGUAAAGGGUGCGUAGGUGGGUUGGCAAGUUAGUAGGGUAAGUCAAAGGCUCAACCUUGGAACUGCUACUAAUACUGUUUGACUUGAGUGCAGGAGGGGCAGCCGGAAUUCGUAGUGUAGCGGUGGAAUGCGUAGAUAUCAGGAAGAACACCAGUGGCGAAGGCAGGCUGCUAGACUGCAACUGACACUGAUGCACGAAAGCGUGGGGAUCAAACAGGAUUAGAUACCCUUGUAGUC
rnacentral:rRNA from 1 species